CCUCACUAUUGAUAGAAUUGCAUUGCCUUAAUUUCAUGGCAGCAGUCAACUGAGGAAAGAUCUAAAGAGAGGAUUCGAACCAUCACACUUAUAGAAUUCCCACAAUACCUCUUGUCUAUACUCAGACCUUAUACUAAGCACUUAUGGUACCGCUGUCCCCUCUUCUUAGUUUCCCCAGUAUAGAAUAAUCUUGAUGAUCAUUAAGGAAGAAAUAAGGUAUGAAAUCACUAAGGGAAAGUAUCUUAUUGUUUGACCACGUAUCUAUAUCAAUUUGAACCAAGUUUCCAUAGAAAAACAAUAGGGGGAGCAGUAAAUCAGACGUUCUCUCUAUUAGGUGUGUGGGCUUUACAUCUAGGGCUCGCUAUCUCUCUCGAGUAUAUCAGUCGUGGUCUUGCUGUCGUGCCGUUCCAGUAGUGUUUGUGAGGAGAACAAAAGGUAAAAAAUACCAUAGCCAAAGUCAUAGGCCAUAUCAGGAACCAAGAUGCCUUUGAUUACAGCAUUCGCUACUUAGCCAAUAGUCAGUAAAGAAUGAAGAGAGAUGCGAACCGAUCCUAGCUUCCCCGAUCGAGAUUCAUGUAAUAAAGGAAGAUAGACCGCUAUCCAAGUAGGAUGGUUAGUAAUCACCUAUUCAGUAGCUCUUCCCUAGUGUCUGACAAGGCUUCCAAAUUGGGUGGAAAGGAAUCCGAGUGUGACAUGAGUACUAUCGAGAGUUGGUAAAGGAAGAUUACCCGUACAUGCUAUUUGUGCAUGAAGUACCGAGGUUCGGGGCAAGGAUGUUAGAACCUAACUACUUUCCAAAGACCAAGACACCAAUGCUGAUAGUAAAGCGAUACCAAAGAGAGAGAGACCAGAUAUAUAGAUAGCGAGAGAGCAAAGAUAAGAGAGAGAAGAGACAGACGUAGGAUUCUAACCAAUGCCAAGACCUGAUAUCGAGAUAGAGCCAGAGAAGGAUGCUGGGUUAGGCGAUUCUCAAACGGAAAGUCAGAGAGGCAGGAUAGGUAAACUGACAUGCAAGGGCUUUGGUCACACUCGUAAAGCGAAAGAAGCCCGUAACUCUCUAUCAAGGAAACUCAAUAAACGAGGAGUCGCUUCUUAGGAAUUCCUCUUCUAGAAUAGACGUUAUGGCAAAGAACAGUGGAAUUACCGAAGACACGUUAGAAAAAUGCCCCUGCGUCUGGUACAUGUGGGUUGCCCAAGUUCCUAAUCUCUUUUACAGGUGCCAAAGUACCCGGUUCCGGAAAUGGGAUAGACGUGAAUCGAUGUCCACCUCCCUCGGUCAGCGCAAUUCGACCGAUUGAUCCAUUAGAACGCUAAGAGAGGAGAUUGACAAGGGGGCGAAGCGGUAUCGCACAAGAAGAGAAGAGUGGAAGGGAAGUAGGACGGUAGGACUGUUUUGCUCACCGCUUGCAUCGAAAAGUAUAAAGAAUGAAAGAAGGAACUUUAACCCGCAGAAGCCCAGCUGCAAAAGAAAGAUAUUGAAAAUAGUUAUGACUUUCUCGAUUGUUAAUAAAAGUAUAAGGCCAUACCUUUUUAGCAAAGGUCAAGCAUACAGACGAUAGAUAAAGAUAAAGCAGAACAGAAGAAUUGCACACGACCGUGUUAAUUAUAGCGAUUCCUUAUAAUCCUAGAUAAUGACCUUUAUAAAUGGAUAUAAUAAACUCGUGGAGAUUGAUACCUUCUCGUCAGACCGUUUACACACCUUCUCGGGCAAGGUUCACUUUACUACCAACUCAGACAACCCCAGACGGGGACACCACCAGAACACCCGAAAAGGAUAUAUUGGAUUUUUCAGCAAUAGGGGGAAUGACUUUCCACGUCUGUCUUACUAAUCAUCUUCCUUAGAUCUCCCCUAUGAGUUGUCUUUUCAAGGGAAGGCUGACUCCGCUGCGGAUAUAUCCGAUGUAUCUCCGAAUAGGUUGUUGAGUCUCCUACCUAUAUAUCUUAUAGGAAGGUAACCAGCCCCCCCCUGCUUAACAAUACAAGGAAAAGACAGAAGGAUUUUCUUUCUUUCUAGGUAAUAGCACUUUCUUGUUAGGGGUUGGGAUAGAUAGUUAGGUAUAUCGGGUCAGAAGCCGUUGGGGGACAGAGCAAUCUAGACGAGAUAAGAAAAGAGUCCGAAUUUGAUUGAGUUCAAAGAGCCAAGCAACGACACACACGGAAUAAGAAUGUAACUGCUAACUAUUGGAUUGAACUACUAGGCUAUCAGGAUCAAAUCGCAGUUUACAAGGCUACCUUUUAGUUAAAGAAACGAGCUACUCUCUUAUUAGCCUGGCACUACUUGACUAAAAUAUGAAUAUUACCCCCGUAACUACUGGCUCUAAAGCUUUGACUCACUUCCGGAAUUCUGUAGUGAAGGUGCGAGUCUGCCUCUAUUGUCUCAGAUUCUGUUACUUAUUACUCUCAUUCUAAAACUCCUGUGUUAUAGACAUCAAAUUCAUUAUAAGCAAUAUUAGGCGCAUUCAAUGAUCUAUUUACCAUCAAAACACCCAAUGAAUGAUGCUCUAGUUCAUUUGUUACUAAUCUAUUUCUGUAUUUAGAAAGCAAUAAUCACAUAGGUCACUCAAAGAAAUAAUAGCAUAGGUCACUCAAAGAAUUGCACCGGGGGGAAUACUCAAAUGCGAAAAUACCUUAGGAGAUUGACUCAGUAGGGGAGGGAACUAGACCGGGGAAUACUCAAAUGCGAAAAUACCUUAGGAGAUUGACUCAGUAGGGGAGGGAACU
rnacentral:lncRNA from 1 species